CACGUGCUACAAUGGCGCAUACAAAGAGAAGCGACCUCGCGAGAGCAAGCGGACCUCAUAAAGUGCGUCGUAGUCCGGAUUGGAGUCUGCAACUCGACUCCAUGAAGUCGGAAUCGCUAGUAAUCGUGGAUCAGAAUGCCACGGUGAAUACGUUCCCGGGCCUUGUACACACCGCCCGUCACACCAUGGGAGUGGGUUGCAAAAGAAGUAGGUAGCUUAACCUUCGGGAGGGCGCUUACCACUUUGUGAUUCAUGACUGGGGUGAAGUCGUAACAAGGUAACCGUAGGGGAACCUGC
rnacentral:rRNA from 3 species